rnacentral:lncRNA from 1 species
AUGAUAAAAACGUUACAUUUUGGUUCUGCCUUUUGGAAGACAGGGGGAGGAAGAAAUAAAUUCCGAGUGUUGGAGGACCUGGAUUUGCACUUAUCGGCUAUAACAAAACAUCUGCUGCUUUUGAAUAAAUCUCAGAUGCCUUUGGAUACAGACCUGGAUCCUGAGAUGGGCUUCCAAAGCUAUCAUGUUGGGACCCCCAUUUCCACCUCUCCGGGUGUCUUCGGCUGUGGUUGCUCUGUCCCCUUUGUCCAGCACAUUGCAGGGAUCAUGACUGACGGGACAGGACUCUAA